rnacentral:rRNA from 1 species
UACGUAGGGUGCGAGCGUUAAUCGGAAUUACUGGGCGUAAAGCGUGCGCAGGCGGUUCGUUGUGUCGGCGGUGAAAGCCCCGGGCUUAACCUGGGAAUGGCCGUUGAAACUGGCGAACUGGAGUGUGGCAGAGGGGGGGUGGAAUUCCGCGUGUAGCAGUGAAAUGCGUAGAGAUGUGGAGGAACACCGAUGGCGAAGGCAGCCUCCUGGGCCGACACUGACGCUCAUGCACGAAAGCGUGGGGAGCAAACAGG